CCUACGGGAGGCAGCAGUGAGGAAUAUUGGUCAAUGGGAGCUAGCCUGAACCAGCCAAGUAGCGUGAAGGAUGACUGCCCUAUGGGUUGUAAACUUCUUUUAUAUGGGAAUAAAGUGCAGUAUGUAUACUGCUUUGCAUGUACCUUAUGAAUAAGGAUCGGCUAACUCCGUGCCAGCAGCCGCGGUAAUACGGAGGAUCCGAGCGUUAUCCGGAUUUAUUGGGUUUAAAGGGAGCGUAGGCGGGUUGUUAAGUCAGUUGUGAAAGUUUGCGGCUCAACCGUAAAAUUGCAGUUGAUACUGGCAGCCUUGAGUACAGUAGAGGUAGGCGGAAUUCGUGGUGUAGCGGUGAAAUGCUUAGAUAUCACGAAGAACUCCGAUUGCGAAGGCAGCCUGCUGGACUGUAACUGACGCUGAUGCUCGAAAGUGUGGGUAUCAAACAGGAUUAGAUACCCCAGUAGUC
rnacentral:rRNA from 1 species